AUUGAACGCUGGCGGCAGGCCUAACACAUGCAAGUCGAGCGGCUGAAGGGAGCUUGCUCCUUGAUUCAGCGGCGGACGGGUGAGUAAUGCCUAGGAAUCUGCCUGGUAGUGGGUGAUAACGUCCGGAAACGGGCGCUAAUACCGCAUACGUCCUGAGGGAGAAAGUGGGGGAUCUUCGGACCUCACGCUAUCAGAUGAGCCGAUGUCGGAUUAGCUAGUUGGUGGGGUAAAGGCCUACCAAGGCGACGAUCCGUAACUGGUCUGAGAGGAUGAUCAGUCACACUGGAACUGAGACACGGUCCAGACUCCUACGGGAGGCAGCAGUGGGGAAUAUUGGACAAUGGGCGAAAGCCUGAUCCAGCCAUGCCGCGUGUGUGAAGAAGGUCUUCGGAUUGUAAAGCACUUUAAGUUGGGAGGAAGGGCAGUAAGUUAAUACCUUGCUGUUUUGACGUUACCAACAGAAUAAGCACCGGCUAACUUCGUG
rnacentral:rRNA from 1 species